rnacentral:rRNA from 1 species
GAUGAACGCUGGCGGCGUGCCUAAUACAUGCAAGUCGAGCGAACAGACGAGGAGCUUGCUCCUCUGACGUUAGCGGCGGACGGGUGAGUAACACGUGGAUAACCUACCUAUAAGACUGGGAUAACUUCGGGAAACCGGAGCUAAUACCGGAUAAUAUAUUGAACCGCAUGGUUCAAUAGUGAAAGACGGUUUUGCUGUCACUUAUAGAUGGAUCCGCGCCGCAUUAGCUAGUUGGUAAGGUAACGGCUUACCAAGGCAACGAUGCGUAGCCGACCUGAGAGGGUGAUCGGCCACACUGGAACUGAGACACGGUCCAGACUCCUGCGGGAGGCAGCAGUAGGGAAUCUUCCGCAAUGGGCGAAAGCCUGACGGAGCAACGCCGCGUGAGUGAUGAAGGUCUUCGGAUCGUAAAACUCUGUUAUUAGGGAAGAACAAAUGUGUAAGUAACUAUGCACGUCUUGACGGUAACUAAUAAGAAAGCCACGGCUAACUACGUG